rnacentral:rRNA from 1 species
UACGUAGGGUGCAAGCGUUGUCCGGAAUUAUUGGGCGUAAAGAGCUCGUAGGCGGUCUGUUGCGUCGGCUGUGAAAACCCGGGGCUCAACUCCGGGCCUGCAGCCGAUACGGGCAGACUAGAGUUCGGCAGGGGAGACUGGAAUUCCUGGUGUAGCGGUGAAAUGCGCAGAUAUCAGGAGGAACACCGGUGGCGAAGGCGGGUCUCUGGGCCGAUACUGACGCUGAGGAGCGAAAGCGUGGGGAGCGAACAGA